rnacentral:rRNA from 1 species
GAACGCUAGCGGCAGGCUUAAUACAUGCAAGUCGAGGGGCAGCGCAGUGUAGCAAUACAGUGGGCGGCGACCGGCAAACGGGUGCGUAACACGUACGCUAACCUUCCCGUUACUGUGGGAUAGCCCAGGGAAACUUGGAUUAAUACCACAUAUUGCCAUUGGGAGGCAUCUCUUGAUGGCCAAAGAAUUUCGGUAACGGAUGGGCGUGCGGUUGAUUAGGUAGUUGGCGGGGUAACGGCCCACCAAGCCUACGAUCAAUAGCUGAUGUGAGAGCAUGAUCAGCCACACGGGCACUGAGACACGGGCCCGACUCCUACGGGAGGCAGCAGUAAGGAAUAUUGGGCAAUGGACGAAAGUCUGACCCAGCCAUGCCGCGUGAAGGAUGAAGGUCCUCUGGAUUGUAAACUUCUUUUAUCUGGGGCGAAAACAACUCUUUCUAGAGUUCUUGACAGUACCAGAGGAAUAAGCACCGGCUAACUCCGUG